UCUGGGUUGCAUGGCCGCACGCCGUGGUCGGUUUGUUGUAUCUAUUAACGGUGCACUGACUGCCUGGUGUCGUGGUUGUGCAAUCUUUCUGCCGUAUCUGANUCAGGUGCCGGUUGAUUUUCAGCUGGCAUGCUCUUUGAUGCCUUUAAUUGGGUGUCUGGAGCAGACGGCACGUUUACUUUGAACAAAUUUGAGUGCUCAAAGCAGGCGUAUUGCCUGAAAAGUCUUGCAUGGAAUAAUGGAAUAGGACUUCGGUUCUAUUUUGUUGGUUUUCGGAUCCGAAGUAAU
rnacentral:rRNA from 1 species